rnacentral:lncRNA from 1 species
UCCCAUCUAUUUUUAGAUACUCCCUCCGUCCAACUAAAAGUGGCCACAUUUCCAUUUUGGUUUGUCCCACUAAAAGUGGCCACUUUCCUAAAAUAGAAAUAUUUAAUUUAAUUAAAUCAAUUAAUUAAUUUAAUUUAUUUUUUAUUAACCUAAACAUUCUUUAAAUAAAAACACACACACAAAACACACACACAAACACGCACAUAGAUCCAUAAUCUCCUCCUUCUCUCUUUUUCUCUGGCGCUGCUGUUGUUCGCCGACCGGCUGCCGCCUCGCCCCUUCACUUCCCUCACCCUCGCCUUUGCUCUCUGCUCUCUCAUUCUCUCUCUCGUUGCGUGCGCACACACACACGCCCAACAGCGCCGCCCAACACAAAACCUCUCCCUUCUCUUUUCUUCUCCGGCGAGGUGGUCAACGUUAACAGAAGAGGCGGAUCUCCGCCGUCAGAUCGCUCAGAUCCAGGGAACCAAUGGCUAUUGUGCCGAAUUUGGCCUCGAUCUAGAGGACGGACUUGGAGUAGAGGAGGUGAAA